rnacentral:rRNA from 1 species
AUGGCCAACCUUGCUCCCCUCCUAGCACCACCCGUCAACAUGGAGGAGGUUACUGUCUUCAAUUUGUGUGUGGCUGGCACCACAUCGAAGACGUACAGGCGACUGAUGAGGGCUCGAGAUCGGCGCAAGAGAAAUCUAUCCCCAAGAAUCAUUCGAGGAUCACCAACCACGCCAAUACAUGAGAGUUACCAUAUUGUGAUUCUGCGCCUUCCCGGGAGAGAUGAAGAAGUAGGGCUGCUGUUCCGCGACCGAGACGAGUAUCAGGUUGCAGUCAGGAACGGCCAAGGCGUAUGGUUUCAGUUCUAUGACCAACCAGUCCCUGCCAACUUCAACCCCAUACGGCUCAGGCUCAGGGGUAGUCAUACGAGGAUGCCGGAUGGGCCACAUUGGGGCACAACUGUAGGGCACUUUACGUUCCGCGCUGCCUACAAUGAGCUUGUCAACUUCAAUGCGCUGGGAUAUGGUGUCCUGCAACGGAGGAUGUUGCACGCCUGCACGUUGGUGUUCUCAGAGGCCUCCAGAUUCAGGUCCAUCAGGUGGCUAGUGUGCUACAACAUGGACAACGGCAUCAAUACAGUGCUCUCCAGUUUGAUGUGGAAGCGCAUCUUUUGCUGGAGCCAUAUGUCAUCAUGGGUUCUCAGGCGUGCACAGAUGCUGGAAGCUGAGCAAGGCGAGGCACAAAUUGAUGCAUGGCUGGCAGCUCUUGGGAUUACCUGUUUCAUAGACGCUGUGGGUACACCCGGAGGGGAGCUAUUGCUGCUGAACUAUGAUGCUGAGUUCUUCUGA